GAUGAACGCUGGCGGCGUGCCUAAUACAUGCAAGUCGAGCGAACGGACGAGAAGCUUGCUUCUCUGAUGUUAGCGGCGGACGGGUGAGUAACACGUGGAUAACCUACCUAUAAGACUGGGAUAACUUCGGGAAACCGUAGCUAAUACCGGAUAAUAUUUUGAACAGCAUGGUUCAAAAGUGAAAGACGGUCUUGCUGUCACUUAUAGAUGGAUCCGCGCUGCAUUAGCUAGUUGGUAAGGUAACGGCUUACCAAGGCAACGAUGCAUAGCCGACCUGAGAGGGUGAUCGGCCACACGGGAACGGAGACACGGUCCAGACUCCUACGGGAGGCAGCAGUAGGGAAUCUUCCGCAAUGGGCGAAAGCCUGACGGAGCAACGCCGCGUGAGUGAUGAAGGUCUUCGGAUCGUAAAACUCUGUUAUUAGGGAAGAACAUAUGUGUAAGUAACUGUGCACAUCUUGACGGUACCUAAUCAGAAAGCCACGGCUAACUACGUG
rnacentral:rRNA from 1 species